rnacentral:lncRNA from 1 species
UAGGAUUUGGUCUAGGAUUUGAUUAAGGAUUUGGUUUAGGAUUUAGGAUUUAUCUAGGAUUUUAUUUAGGAUUUGAUUUAAGAUCUAGAAUUUGGUUUAAGAUUUAAGAUUUUUCUAGAAUUUGAUUUAAGAUUUGGUUUAGGAUUUAGGAUUUGUUUAGGAUUUGAUUUAGGAUUUGGUUUAGGAUUUAGGAUUUUUCUACAGUUUGAUUUAGAAUCUAGGAUUUGAUCUAAGAUUUGAUUCAAGAUUUAUGAUUUGGUUUAGAAUUUGAUUGAAGUCUAUUAGGAUUUCAACUAGGAUUAAAUUAGAACUUAGUUGAGAUUUAUUUAAGAUAUAUUUGUGAUUAUUUUCAUAUUUUUUAGGGCUUCUUGAGGAUUCUUUUAAGAUUUAUUGUGGAUUUUCUUUCAA